GAACGCACAUUGCGCCUCCUGGUAUUCUGGGGGGCAUGCCUGUUCGAGAGUCAUUUCACCACUCAAGCCUGGCUUGGUGUUGGGCGACGUCCCCUUUGGGGACGCGCCUCGAAACGCUCGGCGGCGUGGCACCGGCUUUAAGCGUAGCAGAAUCUUUCGCUUUGGAAGUCGGGGCCCCGUCUGCCGGAAGACCUACUCGCAAGGUUGACCUCGGAUCAGGCAGGGAUACCCGCUGAACUUAAG
rnacentral:misc_RNA from 1 species